UCCGUUAUGGUGUAGUGGCUAACAUUAUCGCCUCUCAUUCAUGUCUCUGCUCAGCAAUGAAAACGCGAUAGCCCAGGGUUCGAUUCCCUGUAACGGAA